CAGUCGCCACGGGAAAACCAGCAGCCCAAGUGGUGGUCGCGUUUAUUGGGCCUAAAGCGCUCGUAGCCUGGCCGGUAAGUUCCCCGUGAAAUCGGGUCGCCCAACGAUUCGGCUUGCGGGGAAUACUGUCGGUCUUGGGGCCGGGAGACGCCGAGGGUACUCCGGGGGUAGCGGUGAAAUGCUGUAAUCCUCGGGGGACUACCAGUGGCGAAGGCGCUCGGCGAUAACGGGCCUGACGGUGAGGGGCGAAAGCUGGGGGCGCGAACGGGAUUAGAUACCCCCGUAGUCCCUGUCUCUUAUU
rnacentral:rRNA from 1 species